GACGAACGCUGGCGGCGUGCUUAACACAUGCAAGUCGAACGAUGAACCAUUUCGGUGGGGAUUAGUGGCGAACGGGUGAGUAACACGUGGGCAAUCUGCCCUUCACUCUGGGACAAGCCCUGGAAACGGGGUCUAAUACCGGAUACAACCACUGCAGGCAUCUGUGGGUGGUGGAAAGCUCCGGCGGUGAAGGAUGAGCC
rnacentral:rRNA from 1 species